rnacentral:rRNA from 1 species
GGCGAACGGGUGAGUAACACGUGGGUGAUCUGCCCUGCACUUCGGGAUAAGCCUGGGAAACUGGGUCUAAUACCGGAUAGGACGAUGGUUUGGAUGCCAUUGUGGAAAGUUUUUCGGUGUGGGAUGAGCUCGCGGCCUAUCAGCUUGUUGGUGGGGUAAUGGCCUACCAAGGCGUCGACGGGUAGCCGGCCUGAGAGGGUGUACGGCCAUAUUGGGACUGAGAUACGGCCCAG